AGUAUAUAUUUCCGGUCAAGAAACUAAGGGCGCAAGGCGGAUGCCUUGGCACCAGGAGGCGAAGAAGGACGUGACAAGCAACGAAAACCUCGAAUAGGAGCAAAUAUCCAGUAACUCGGGGGAAUCCGAAUGGGGAAACCUACUAGACACACUCUAGUAUUCAUACGUAAAUACAUAGCGUAUGGAGGCGAAUGUUCUGAACUGAAACAUCUAAGUAGGAACAAGAAAAGAAAGAAAACUCGAUUCUCCAAGUAGCGGCGAGCGAACAGAGAACAGCCCAUUAAAGUAAGACUAAACUGAUAGACAAAUCUUAU
rnacentral:rRNA from 1 species